rnacentral:rRNA from 1 species
AGGACGAACGCUGGCGGCGUGCUUAACACAUGCAAGUCGAGCGGAAAGGCUCCUUCGGGGGUACUCGAGCGGCGAACGGGUGAGUAACACGUGAGUAAUCUGCCCUCCACUCUGGGAUAACGUUCAGAAAUGGGUGCUAAUACCGGAUGUGCACAGGCUGACGCAUGUUGGUGUGUGGAAAGUUUUUUCGGCGAGGGAUGAGCCCGCGGCCUAUCAGCUUGUUGGUGGGGUAAUGGCCUACCAAGGCAGUGACGGGUA